UCCGUAGGGUGCAAGCGUUAAUCGGAAUUACUGGGCGUAAAGCGUGCGCAGGCGGUGAUGUAAGACAGAUGUGAAAUCCCCGGGCUCAACCUGGGAACUGCAUUUGUGACUGCAUCGCUGGAGUGCGGCAGAGGGGGAUGGAAUUCCGCGUGUAGCAGUGAAAUGCGUAGAUAUGCGGAGGAACACCGAUGGCGAAGGCAAUCCCCUGGGCCUGCACUGACGCUCAUGCACGAAAGCGUGGGGAGCAAACAGG
rnacentral:rRNA from 1 species